rnacentral:tRNA from 1 species
CGGCGUGUAGCUCAAGGGUGAGAGCGGCGUCCUUAUAAAGCGACCGUUGCGGGUUCGAUUCCCGCCACGCCGA